CCCUUAGAUGUCCUGGGCUGCACGCGCGCUACACUGAUGUGUCCAGUAAGCACCUAACCUCUUCCGAAAGGAACGGGUAACCUUUGCAAAGCACAUCGUGAUGGGGAUAGAUUAUUGCAAUUAUUAGUCUUGAACGAGGAAUUCCUAGUAAACGCGAGUCAUCAGCUCGCAUUGAUUACGUCCCUGCCCUUUGUACACACCGCCCGUCGCACCUACCGAUUGAAUGUUUCGGUGAAGAUUCCGGAUAGGACUUUUUUGAUUUAUUUCAAUUUUGUCUUAAAAGCUAUCUAAACCUCAACAUUUAGAGGAAGGUGAAGUCGUAACA
rnacentral:rRNA from 1 species